AUGUGGCAACCUAAACAGCCUGGGUUGGAGAUGAAGCCCGAAGCUUCAGGAAAAGGGCGAAAACGGAAAUACCAGGAUGAAAGAGAGAUAGAGACAGAGGCUGAAGCUUUGGGACAAGGUCCAAAAAGGAAAUACCAGGAUGGAACAGGGAUGGUAUUUAAAGAGUCUGGCAAGGCUCAGAAGAAGACCCCUCAGGAGCCUCAAGACCUAGAGCUUCUGAGAGUACAGCCUAGCAAGGGUCGGGCAAGGAAACCCCAGGGAGAGACUCCAAAACAACUAAAACCCGUUGGGUAUACCGAAGGUCCUCCAGAGGAGGCUGUAACUGGGAGGAAGCCUGCUGAUGGUGGCGAGGGUCGCAAGCGACCCUAUUGUGUCAUGGAGGAAAACGAACAAAGCCCCCAAAAGGAAAAGUACAGAAGGUUGCUUCAACAUCCUCAGUGCGACCAAGAUGUGAGGUCAGACCCACUCAGGCCUCACCCAAUCCUUACAAAUACCUGGAAAACCAAAGGGGGCGAGUCAGGAGACAGUCAUGGAUCAAAAAGUACUCAGAGACAUCUAGAACCAUCUACUGUUUUUGCUACAAAAGAAUGUUUUUCAUCAGAGGAGCGAGUGAAGUGUUCUGAGGAGAAAUCUGUUAUAGAGAAGAAAGGCCGUGUAAAGGGUGAAGGAAGAAGGGGGAACCGCUUGGAGCCUGAUUUACGGGGAACACGGGCUCAGAUCAUCCUGGAUAGCGGCAGAAGCAAUAGCUUACUCCCCAACAAGAUGGCAGCACUACCGGCAGAGAAAAAGCCUCUCACAGACCAAGAAAAGGACAGAGAAAUGGAUCAAAUCCUUAUUACAGAGGAUAUGGAGAAGGAAAUUGAGAAUGCAUUGGGUCCAGGAGCCCAAGAGGAAAUCCUGAGUACCAGAUUCAAGUUACAAAUCACCAGAGGAGAUAUCCAGACCCUGCAGAACGGUCAGUGGCUCAAUGAUGAGGUCAUCAACUUCUACAUGAACCUUCUAGUUGAGAGAAAUGCAAACCAAGGCUACCCGGCUCUUCAUGUCUUUAGCACUUUCUUUUACCCCAAGCUAAAGCAUAGCGGAUACAAUUCCGUGAAAAGAUGGACUCGAAGCAUCCAUCUCUUUGAAAAAGAACUCAUCUUGGUGCCUAUUCACCAGCAGCUCCAUUGGAGCCUGGUGGUAAUCGAUUUAAGAAAACGAAGUAUUGUAUACCUCGAUUCCAUGGGACAUACAGGGAAGUCUAUCUGUGAAACCAUCUUCCAAUAUUUACAAAACGAGAGCAAGACACNCAGGAACANUGAGCUGGACCCUUUGGAGUGGAAGCAGUACAGUGCGACAUCACAAGAGAUUCCUCUGCAACUGAAUGGCAGUGACUGUGGAAUGUUUACCUGUAAAUAUGCAGAUUACAUCUCUAGGGACCAGCCUUUGACCUUUUCUCAGCAACACAUGCCCAACUUCAGGAAGAGGAUGGUAUGGGAAAUCCUGCACAGUCACUUACUGUAACAACAUCCACCUGGUUGCUAUGGUCCCCAUCCCUGUUCUUUUCCAUGCUGUUUCUANUAUACCUCAGGGAGGAUGAGUUGAAGAGAUUUAAACCAGGUACUGAGCUGUCUCAUUGGAUGAAGCCCACUGUCUUCAAUAUAGUCCUAACGUGGAUGUGGGACGGAUGCCCUAAUGCCAUCUCUAGGAUGCAUGCAACUAUUGCAAGCUUAGAAACAGCUGCUGCCCAACCCACAGGAGACCACGUGUUCAAAAAAUCCUUUUUUAAUGCUGGAUUU